UACGUAGGUGGCGAGCGUUUGUCCGGAUUUAUUGGGCGUAAAGCGCGCGCAGGCGGCCUCGCGCGCCCGACGUGAAAGCCCCCGGCUUAACCGGGGAGGGUCGUUGGGGACGGCGGGGCUUGAGGGCGGGAGAGGUCGGUGGAAUUCCCGGUGUAGUGGUGAAAUGCGUAGAGAUCGGGAGGAACACCUGUGGCGAAAGGCGGCCGACGUGGGCCGACCCUGACGCUGAGGCGCGAAGGCGUGGGGAGCAAACAGGG
rnacentral:rRNA from 1 species